rnacentral:ncRNA from 1 species
GUAACCGCGAGGUUACAUCUGAAGCAAGCGAGACUAUAAAACUCGGUACUGACGAACAGGAACAUUAUACAGAGGCAUACUUAAUUGAGUAAUCAAGCACAUCAUUGUAUCGCCUUAAGAACACCAAAAGGGUAGAUAUAUAGAUACGGCAGGGAUUGAGAGAAAGAAGAUGUU